UGCAGUCCGAGCGGAUGACGGGAGCUUGCUCCUUGAUUCAGCGGCGGACGGGUGAGUAAUGCCUAGGAAUCUGCCUGGUAGUGGGGGACAACGUUUCGAAAGGAACGCUAAUACCGCAUACGUCCUACGGGAGAAAGCAGGGGACCUUCGGGCCUUGCGCUAUCAGAUGAGCCUAGGUCGGAUUAGCUAGUUGGUGGGGUAAUGGCUCACCAAGGCGACGAUCCGUAACUGGUCUGAGAGGAUGAUCAGUCACACUGGAACUGAGACACGGUCCAGACUCCUACGGGAGGCAGCAGUGGGGAAUAUUGGACAAUGGGCGAAAGCCUGAUCCAGCCAUGCCGCGUGUGUGAAGAAGGUCUUCGGAUUGUAAAGCACUUUAAGUUGGGAGGAAGGGCAGUAAGCUAAUACCUUGCUGUUUUGACGUUACCGACAGAAUAAGCACCGGCUAACUCUGUGCCAGCAGCCGCGGUAAUACAGAGGGUGCAAGCGUUAAUCGGAAUUACUGGGCGUAAAGCGCGCGUAGGUGGUUUGUUAAGUUGGAUGUGAAAGCCCCGGGCUCAACCUGGGAACUGCAUCCAAAACUGGCAAGCUAGAGUACGGUAGAGGGUGGUGGAAUUUCCUGUGUAGCGGUGAAAUGCGUAGA
rnacentral:rRNA from 1 species